AAUAAAAUACAUUAUGGUGUAUGGGCAUAUAAAGUUUUGAUCUUUAAGGAAAAGGUUCAAAUCCUUUUUUUGUAA
rnacentral:tRNA from 1 species